rnacentral:rRNA from 1 species
GAUGAACGCUGGCGGCGUGCCUAAUACAUGCAAGUCGAGCGAACAGACGAGGAGCUUGCUCCUCUGACGUUAGCGGCGGACGGGUGAGUAACACGUGGAUAACCUACCUAUAAGACUGGGAUAACUUCGGGAAACCGGAGCUAAUACCGGAUAAUAUAUUGAACCGCAUGGUUCAAUAGUGAAAGACGGUUUUGCUGUCACGUAUAGAUGGAUCCGCGCCGCAUUAGCUAGUUGGUAAGGUAACGGCUUACCAAGGCAACGAUGCGUAGCCGACCUGAGAGGGUGAUCGGCCACACUGGACCUGAGACACGGUCCAGACUCCUACGGGAGGCAGCAGUAGGGAAUCUUCCGCAAUGGGCGAAAGCCUGACGGAGCAACGCCGCGUGAGUGAUGAAGGUCUUCGGAUCGUAAAACUCUGUUAUUAGGGAAGAACAAAUGUGUAAGUAACUAUGCACGUCUUGACGGUACCUAAUCAGAAAGCCACGGCUAACUACGUG